GGGUCGGUGGUCGGAUGGUCAAAACCGUUGGUUUUCGACCACUACGACCCGGGUUCGAUUCCCGCAUUGGGCACU